rnacentral:lncRNA from 1 species
CAUCAGCAAACCCUUCAGCUAAUUGUCUUCAGCGGUCUCUUGAAAUUUAAGGGCUGUUACAACAGUAAUUUGUGCCUCUUAAAUAGUCAACUAUAAAUAGUGGGACAAACCGAGUGGGAAGCAGGAAGAACAGGGAAGGUGCUCGGAAUAGCAACUAACCUAGAAAGCGAGUCGAGUUGACGUUGAGCAGUUGCUGCUGAAGAAGAAGGAAAGGGUGAGACCCCCGGGUGCCUCUGCUCCUGCCCCUGCAGGACCCUCCGUGUCCCCCUGGCGGCCACAGCCAGGCCAACGUGGUGGGCACAGAGCGCCUUGAGCCCUCAAGACUUUCCACCUGGCUGGCCACGGGGCCCGGCCUGGCAGUGGGGAGCGUGGUCCUGGCCCUGGAGCCCUGUGGUCACCAUGUGGCCUUGUGCCCAACACCAAACAGUAGCAACUCAGAGACAGCCACGCAGGAGGGGACACCCCGAUGCAAGCUGAGGCGUCCUCCCCGGCCUCCACCUGUGCUGCUCACUGGUCAGCUCGUGCUUUCAUUCACGAGGUACCCACCUGCCCCUACGAGCGAGGCCCUGUCCUGGGAGGCCACACCUCAGGGAGGUGACUGUCCGCUUGAGGAUGGGUGCUGUGGUUCGUGGGCAGGGUGACUCUGCAGGUGUGGCCAGAGCAGUGCUGCCAGCAGCAGGUUCAUGAGGCGCCGGGUUCCCGGAGGCCAUCAGCGCAGCCCACCCAGAGGGAGCCUGAACCCGCCACGGGGAGCCCCAUCCCUGAGUGCCGCUGGUGGGCAGGAGGGUGGCUCCCAGCCCCUCCCGGCACCCUGCUACCUGGGAGGAGCACCCACCCCACCUCCUGCCCCCAGCAGGAGAGAGGGAGGGCUGGAGAACUGGAGGGCUGGCCCCAGGCAUCUUCCCGAGCCUCCAGAACACUCCCGGACUGAGCCAGGGCCAGGUCGUGGGCUUGCCCGGCUGCUGGGGCUCCCACUUCCCACCCGCCUCCUCGAUCCCUCCCUGUGGCUCCCUCUGGGCCCCUCUCCUGCGCACACCCCAUGUCCUCGGCUCCUGCCAGCCUCUUCCUCCUGGGGCCUCCCAGCGUUUGAAUCUCGCACACCCAUCCCUGGAGCCCUGACCUUGCACCUCCAGCAACCUGCCCCAAUCUCUGUGGCCUCCUCCUGGGGCUGGGCCGGGGGCCAGGGCCUUGCAUCUGGGUCCUGCCCCGCUGGCGGCCCCCACCUCUACCUGAGGUCCCAGCAGUCUCUGGGCAGUGCUGCCCUGGGGGCUGCCUCGCUCCCCUGCUCAGAGGAGAGGCCAAGGCUGUCAUGAGGGGCCUGCUCUGGGGUAUCCUGCCCCAGGACCCCCAGCCAUCCCCAGGGGACAGACUGGGGUGGCAGAGCAGGGCAUGGGACUCUUGCAGGGGCACAGGACACUUGUGCUUGGGGCUGUGUCCAAAGGUGGCAGGUGCUGAGCCCUCAGUACUGCCCUGCUGCCCUCUCUGCUCAGGAGGUCACCUCUACCACUUGACCCUCUCCUGUGAGAGCCGCAGCUGCUGCUGGUGGACCCCUCCCUUCUGCCGACCCUCACCCUCCUUGGACCCUGAGCAGCCUCUGUCCGUGUGGAGAGUCCAGGGCCUGGGGCACUUGCAGUGCAGUGAGUUCAUCCCAGGGACUGUUGCAGAGACCUGGGUGGGUGGUCAGCAGGGGCCCAGCCAGGGGACAGGCCACAUGGGUGGGGGAGGGUGUGCGAGGGAGCCCCAUCUGCUAUGGGCAGAGUGGCCCAGGAGACGGUCUGUGCACGCUGGCCCCGGCAGGUGCUGCCCUGGAGGUGAGGGGUGCUGCUGACCUGGGCUUGGCUCCCUCGGGGUCCACUGGAGAUGCAGCCCCCUGCUGCCUUCUGGUUGCAGGUGGCUGUGGGUUCGACACUGGAUGCCACUGUUUGCCGCCUGGGAUGGACAGGCUGGGUGGCAGGGUUUCAAGGAAGGACCACAGGAAGAAGUUGGCAGUGCCACGGCUACUCAGCCUCCCAGGGGGCAUGUGCGGGACUCUAGGCCACCUCGUCUGCCAUUGCUCCAGAUGACCUGUAAUACACCUGGGCAUUCGAGGCCACCUUGGGUGUGCAGGGCCAGCAGGCCCUCUAGGAGUGGGGCUGUCCCUUGCCUUGUCCCUGGAGGGCCCAGGAAACUGGACCGCUGUGUGUUUGCUGCGGCAGCGAUUCCACCCAGGCAGCUCCAGGGCUUCUCUGCUGACGCCUGGACUCAGACCUGGACUGACGCCCCCAGCAUGUCACAGACAGACUGACUCGACGGGGGCUGGGGGAGGCGCCAGGCAGGGGCCCAGGGCCAGGGCAGACUUCUGAGGAGUGGGCAAGAGCGCAGCGUGGCAGGCCUUUGCCUCGCAGCACAGUGCUCUACCCCUGAGCCCCAGCCCCAGCCCCGGGUUUCUUUUAAGGGAGGAGCGAGGUUGCCCUCCCUGAUCAGCUCAGCUGCCCUGGCCAGGGUCGGGGGAGGGGAGGAAGGGACGGAGCCCAGAGGAAGGUGUCCCCACUGAGGUCCCUGCCUCCCUCAGCUGGCUUGGGAUGCCCGGGAGGAGCCUGAGGCCCAUGGCUGGUGCAGGGCCAACCCUGUGCCCAGUGCUCUCCCUGUCCCCCGCCUCCCGGCAGGUUCUUGCAGUCACAUGUGCCUGAGCGUCAGGCUGGCAGGGCCAUGAUGUCCUCUGAGAAGGGAGGGGCCCGUCCGGGUCCUGGGUUGCCAACAUCAGAAUCCUCUCUGGCACAUUCAGCUGGAAAAGGAGUUUGAAAGGAUGGCAAGGAGUGUGCAGCCUUAUUAGGAACCAGAGAAACAGAUGGAAGCUUCCAAGAGCC